ensembl:lncRNA
GUACGCGCUACUGUGUAGUUGGCAGUGGUCUCGGCGGUGUGUUUCAGUGCAACUUUUAUGCCGAACGGGUCAGACGAAAGGCAACGGAUGAAGUGGUCGUUGGUUUGAGUCUGGGCGGUGUGUUGGCCCCUUUAACCGUUGUCUCCCUGGCUGAUACCGGCCUCGCCUCGACGAUACGCUGACUCUCUUGGGAAGGCUUGGGAAACGAGUGCGGUGAUGAGUCCAGAACGUUUCUGAUGACCUACCACCCUGCGUGUGCUGUUUAACGACGUACAGACGCACGCGCAUACACAAAUUGGGGGCCAGGUGAAGACGGCGCUCAUCGAGAACGCCAUCUACUACGGCACCUACCCGCUCAUCUUCGGCUCGCUGCUCAUCUACGUGGCCUUGCACCCCGAGUGGCACCUCUCCUGCUUUGGCACCGCCUCAAACACAAAUCACC